AUGCAUUGGAGAGGCUUUGGAGGGAAGAUUAUUCGCGUUCCUUCUGGUGUGAUGCAUGGAAAAAGCUCCCCAGUUCACUAUGACGAAGUUCUAGGAAAGGCCAUAUUUGAGGGCUUGUCAAACCCUUUUACCGCUGCAAGAUAUCAUAGCUUGGUCAUUGAGAAGGAAAGCUUCCCACACGACGAACUGGAAAUCACGGCAUGGACUGAAGAUGGACUUAUCAUGGCCGCCCGCCACAAGAAGUACAAGCAUAUCCAGGGGGUCCAGUUUCACCCAGAGAGUAUCAUCACCCCUGAAGGCAAGAGAAUCAUCCUCAACUUUGCGAGAUACGUCGAGGAGUUUGAGAAGCAGACCUCGGGGACUCAGUAG
rnacentral:rRNA from 1 species